UCCUAAAUAGUACAAUUGCUCAAGAGUGUAAGCUAUGGUUGAACAUGACAUAAGCAAUUUAAAAUGGGGUCACAGAAUCAUCAUGCAAUAUGUUAACCACAUGCACGACGACAGCAAGUUUACAAGUGAAGUUUGUUAGAUUGAUCCUGACGAAGACUGAUACAACUCAAAAACCCAAGUUGGAGCUAAGAAACCAGUAGGAAAUAGGCCAAACAUUCUCACCAGCUGCAUACCUGAAAUAGAAGGAAAUGAGCUUAGGUCAGCUAGUAGGGCCGGGAUACCUAGUUUCUCUUACCUUCAAUUUUAUGUCUUUUUUUCUUUUCAGAAACAAAUAUGUUCAGUUUCACAAGGACGUCCUUAUUAGCACAAAUACAAAGCUGGCAAAAUCCUCUCUGCAAGGAUGAUUGAGAUGUCUCUUAGAGAAGGAGGGGGAUUUGGAUAUGGUGUUCCUGUAAUUUUACAAAAAUCAAGGUCUGGUUUCCAAAUCAGACCCUCCGGUUUCCGUAAAUAAAUUGAGUACACUAGAAAUUAGGUUAACUAAGAUAAGCAAUUAAGACUGCGGCUCCUAGAUGACGUCUAGAGAGUUACUAUCGAGGUCCCUACAUACAAGUAAGCACAAACCAAGUAGAACUCAGAAGAAUCACAAUGCAAUGCAAAUAAGGGGAUUUGCAAUAAUCAAACCAAAGUGGAGAUGCAAUUAUUUGUUUAUUAUCUAAGUAGAUAGUUAAAUACACUAGUGACCCUCAAACUUAUACGAGUGUGUGAAAUAGGUCUACGAACUUCGAAAAGGCAUCCAUGCCCGCCACAUGGGCAUUUCUCGUUGAUGUGGCAUAUGUUAUAGUGUGGACCUCUAAUAGAACAUUUAAGCAUUGAUGAAGUAUGAUAUUAUACUUAGUGGUUGUUUGACUGGGCUCCUUCUAGGCUUCUAAGGGGGCUUCUCUAGCCUGUUUUCAUUGAAAAAUGAUUUCUUCUAUAAAAUGUUUGGUAGGGCUCCUCCAAAUGAGCCAGAACCGGAGCUAAGGAGGAGCCUUACCAAAUAGACCUUUAUACUUGCACCUCUAAUCAGCUAAGCUAGGCUUGAUUCUAGACAUAUCAGUUAUAUCUAGGUAGACAUAUAUGAUUAUAUUCCAUAAGAUUAUAUCCUGAUUGGGUACCAAUCCAUGUAAAUGCUUUGCCCGCAGUAUAUAUUUGGAUGCCCUAUCUGGAAUUUCUAGGUUUUUGGCCUACAUCCCAGCUAUCUAACUUCAUCAAUGUUCAUAAAGCUAAGUGAGCUUAGCUAGUAAGCAUACAUAGAAAACAGAGUUAGAAUCUCACUUAUUUAAAGAUAGUAGUGUUCCUACUAUGUUUCAACACAGAGUAGCUAGCUUGGCAGCAUAAUCCAUAGCUAGCUGCAUAUGCGUGACUUCGGUAACAACAAUAUUGCAUCUAUAUCUAGCUAAUUGGCCACGGUUCCUAAUUACUAGCUAGGCCCCAUUUUCUUAACACUCGUAAUUAAGGAGUAGUGGUUAAGGACAGCUAUACACAGGAGUAGAGGACAUAGAACUGCAGAGAGAUGUGAGAGAUGGCUAGGAACUGGUCCUACAUUAUUAGAUAAGCACAGAGACAUAUUCUAUGCCAUGUUUAUGUUGGGUUUGCCAUCAUACUCACAUCACUUGUUUUUUUUCCCUAUACUAUUGAAGUAUUGAUCAAAUCAAGCUCACAAAUCUAUUAUACAACGGCAACAUUGUUUUUCCCCCCUUGCAUGUCAUCCACUGAUCACUACUAUUAUUUUCUCCUGGCCCCACAUACCCCAGCCUCCUAAGCGCUCUCUCUCUCUCUCUCUCUGCCUACUUGUAUAAAUGCCCAGCUCCUUCCCUCCCAAGUGAGAAGAGGAGGAAGAAGCACUCAGCAAGAGCUUUCAAGAAGCUUUGCUUGUAGUUGUGUUUGCUUUGCUCAAUCUACUGAAAAAAAAACAGCAGAGAGAAAGAGAUCACCAUAACUGAGUUAUUAGCAAGAAAGUGGUAGAGAGGUAUGGGGGUGAUGGACGAAGCAGAGCCGAUGAAGAAGACGAUGAUAAGAGUGAGGGAGUUUGACGUGGAGAGAGACCUCAGGACUGUGGAGGAGCUCGAGCGUCUGUGCCAGGUCGGCCUAUCGGGCGACGACCAAGGCUCUGACCCUGUGGCCGACCAUGAUGGCGGCGGCGCAGCGAAGACGACGACGAGGUGCAGCAGCAAGAAGAAGAGCAAGAAGAAAGGCAUGUCGCUCUACGUCGAGCAGAUCGGCGACCCGUUUGCCCGGGUGCGCCAUGCGCCGGACAACGUCAUGCUGGUAAUUUUACUAUGCCACAGCUCAUGCACCCGGCCAGCCGCCGGGCGCCAUUGACGCUUUCAGUCUGACCUCGCGUGCCUCCGGCAUGGUAGUGAUGCUCAUGAUCGAGCGUGCUUGAUUUGUGCAGGUUGCUGAGUACGGUGAGGAAGAUGAGGUCGUCGGAGUGAUCAAGGCGUGCACCAGGAUGGUAAGCAGAGGAAAGAAGAAGCAAAGCCUCAGCAGCAGCAGCAGCAGCAGCUCGAAGCAGUUCGUCAAGGUGGCAUGCCUUCUGGGCCUCAGGGUGUCCCCUUCCCACAGGUGAUUAAUUAAACAACUAAAGCAAUUAACCCGAGUUAAUCACUGUACACAAAUCAUCAGAUGCUGACACAUUGCGCGAGCAAAGCUGCAAUGCGAGUGCGAGCAACCACCACCACGUGGGGUCAGUGCGCUGACAGUCGCCUUUCGUCGUCUCCGUUGUUGUGCAGGCGCCUCGGGGUCGCGACGGAGCUGGUCCGGCGCGCCGAGUCGUGGUGCGCGGCGCGCGGCGCGGCGUACGCCACCAUGGCCACCACCGAGUCCAACGCCGCGUCGCUCGCGCUCUUCACCGGCCGCUUCGCGUACGCGCCGUUCCGGCGGCCGGUGUUCCUGGGCCACCCCGUGCACCGCCACCGGGUGCGCAUCCCGCGGGCGCACCGCGUGCUGCGCCUGCCCCCGCCGCUCGCCGCGGCCGCCUACGCCGCGCUGCUCCCGCCCUCGGCCGCCGAGUUCCUCCCCGCCGACCUCCCGGCCCUGCUCAACCACAAGCUCACCCUCGGCACGUACCUCGCCAUCCAGCGCGGCGGCGGCGGACCCGACGAGGACCCGGCCCGGACGCCGUCGUUCGCGCUGCUCAGCGUCUGGGACGCCACGCGCUCCCUCCGCCUCCGCGUCGGCGGCGCGCCCACGCUCCUCCGCGCGUCCCUGGCCGCGGCGCGCGCGCUCGACCGCCACGCGCCGUGGCUGCAGGUGCCCUCCGUCCCCGACAUCUUCCGCCCGUUCGGGACCUACCUCAUGUACGGC
rnacentral:lncRNA from 1 species